CGAGUGACCAACUCUACAGGUUGAUCAGCAUUGAGCACAAGGGCGUCGUAAAAUCGAAUAAAAUUGUGAUAAUGCUCGACUGUGAUCUGUUCGUCGUCGCCGUGAAUUCCGCCUCGUGUCACUGGUGUCAAAACCGUCGGAGUGAUGCGGUAAAAGUUAGUCCCACAGUUCGACAUAGCGUCGAAGGUCCGUGUUGGCCGGUGAACAAGCUGCAAAACAGCACCAUGGUGUAAGAGGCUGGUCUCGUUGUCAGGCUCGAUUGCCACGAGAAAUUCAGUUGGAAGAAAGUUAUCUGGCCACCACCACCAAGUCAAGACCAAUAAAGUAUAAACGUUCGAUGUUACUUACUUUAAAGGACUCAGCCACCUUCCAAGUUCCGUUGGCGACCGGAACUACAUCCAGCAGAUGAGCAGCCAACAUGUAAGGAGGUAGGACAUUUUCAGCUUUAUCAUCGUCGUUACUUCCUCGAGUGUUGUAACUAGUAAAUCGUACUCGUUGAUGACAUUUACUUGAAUGGAAGGCGAAGAGUGAUGUAAAGGGAACCUGAUCGUUUUAGAAUUGGCCGUUUUUAAAAUCUAUUUCGAAAAUUUAACUAUGCGAUUGCUUUGAAGUAGUAUAUUUACUAUUUUUGAGAUAUUGAUGAAGUUGGAGCAAGGCUUUGGUUUAUUUCGUUUUUUCUUAAUGAUUUGACUCUUAAUGAUGACUCUUCAUCAGAAGGAAUUCACUAUGUUUUGAGAAAAAAAGUUUGAUGUUAGUGAAAAAUAGAAAAUGGCUAUAGUAUGUUUCGUUGGAAAUCUAGAAACGGUUGAGGAAUUGAUGUAGGCAACCUAGGCCUACCCAACAUUUAAUUACUAGAAAAACAUUCGAGAUCUCAUCACUUUCGGCUUUGUUUCUACGUGAAUUCAAGUCUAACGUGGCCGGUGUUUACUGCAAGGAAAGGAAAGAGUGGAAAUGAUUUGAUCAUUGCUUAACAUAAACAAAACAAUCUAGUGAAAAAUGUGUGGCCGUAUAUGCUAAAGGUAUGA